CAGACAGUACCGAUGAAGGAACGUGUGGGGCCGCGAUAGUUCUGGGGGAGCCGCCGACAAUGGCUUUGAUCCCAGGGUGUCCGAAUG
rnacentral:rRNA from 1 species